AUAUGAAUCACCUUAGGAUUUUUAUUAAAAUGCAGAUUCUGAUACAGCAGAUCUGAGAUGGAGCCUGAGAAACUGCAUCUCUAACAAGUUCCAAGGUGAUAUCAAU
rnacentral:miRNA from 1 species